GGGUGGUUACCGAAGUAGUCAAACGGGCCUGACUGUAAAUCAGGUGGCUUCUGCCUUCGAAGGUGCAAAUCCUUCACCACCCACCA
rnacentral:tRNA from 1 species